CACACCAGCAGCAGUCGUUGCUAAGGGCUAUUAAUUCUGUACCUAGGCAAACACUCUGCCACCAAUAAAUGCUAACGAAUAUGAUGCAAAAGACCCAACCAAUAUUAUACUGCUUAACACAAACCAGCUUAUCCUUCAAAUGAAGAAGUUACAUACCUUUGUUUCAAAAUAUAGAAACAUACGACGAAAAUAAUGUCUAUACAUAAGACUAACUUUUUGCAGUUUGAUAUAUUCACAAUUCUACAUCUUGGGGGCGAGGGAAGAAAGGGUCGAUUGUGGGAGGGGAGGGGCCCUCUGGACGGGUGAGGAGCUGGUCUGGGGCAAAGGAGUGGCUGUCUUGUGGCUCAAGGGUCUCUCUCCUUUUUCACUUUAACAUCCCCAGCUAAGAUCGUCGCGAUUUCGCCCUGCAUGAAGGCCCAAGGUACAUUCGACCCAACUAGGGGGCAUUUCUCUCCGCUGGGGCAGUACACCUCGCCAGUGGCCCCCUGGGCCUUGAUACUCUCUCUAGAGCAAGGGAAGCAGAAUUUGUGGCUGGGAACGGAUGGGCACUGAACGAAAUGUGUGUCCUCCAAACGUUCGUGGCAAAUGGUACAGCACAGGGGCCCGCUGUUGGCCAUAGGGGAAUCCGGAAUGUUUUGGGGGUGUACUUGGUCCAUGCCUGGGUGGGUGCUAGGUGGCGGGGGCGCCACUUGUAAAUUCAGGUCCCCGUUCCGUGAUGCCAAGCGGCGCUGCCCGGGUACGGAGGCCGGCGACACCGGGCUGCUGCUGUUGCGCCGGGCAGACGCAGUGGUGGAGUGCACGGAACUGCCGUCCUUGGGCGAGUGCGCCGUGCCCAGAGUGUCUGCCACCGACAUGAGGGCGGCCAUGGGGGACGGACCAUUCUGAGGGGCUGACUCAGGUGGGGUGGUCCGGUUGGAAUGGGGUCCCAGGGGUGGGGGCGGCGGGGGCGGACCCCCUGCCGCAUGACCAGGCGUUGCAAAGCCCCCGGCCGACAUGGUGAGCUUAAGUGCCUCGCUCUGGUUUGCCAUCCACUGCUGCCUCUGCUGCUCCUCGCCUAGCUUCAGCGCGCCCUCAGCGGAAUCCGGGGGCUCGGGAGACGCCUUCCUCUUGCGCAGGCUGGCGGCUGCGCCCCGGCCCGAGGGGGCAGCGGGCGGCAGGGCCCCGGUCCCCGGGGGUGCGCUGGGGGCGCGGCUUAAACUCACCAGAGCCGUGGGCAGCAUGGGACAGCUGGCGUCCAGGUAGGGCUGGGGCAGCAUGUCUGCGCCGGGCACGCCCUCCUUGAAGAAGCGCACAGCCUCGGGCAGCAGAUCUCCAAGUAGGCGCCAGUCCCCGGAGCCGUGCUUCUUCUCAUACUCCAGAUACUUGAAGCCGGAGGAGAGUCCCCGGCCGAAGUCCUUCAUACAGUCCUGGUACAUCUGCUUGGCCACACCAGAUGCGCUGGAGUACACGUUGCCCGAGCCCGUGGGGUACUCAAUGAAUAGCUUCAACUCAUAGUCCAUGCCAGGCUUGGAGACGGCGUCGAAGGCGAAGACGCGGCCCAGCAGCGAGUGGUCCUUCUUGAAACGCACCUCGUAGGGCGUGCAGCCCGCCAGCGUGAGCAGCGUGUCGCGGACCAUUUUGGGCUUGUUGGCCCACUCCUCGGCGCGGUUGCGCAGGCUCUCGCUCAGCUCCGCCAGGGCCUCCGCGUUACGCUGCUUUUCCUUCAGCUCGCGCUCCUGGUCGGUGCUGGACACCGAGCCGGGCCUUUUGCCACCAGCACCCACGCCCACCUCGGCCACGGACGACGAGGUCGAGGACGACGCGGAGGACGAUGCGGCAGAUACGCCGGGAGUGCCCCCGAGACAAGCUGGGCCCCCGGGUGCCCCUGGGGGCGCGGGCGUCGGGGGCCCACGGCUGCCCAGACCGUGAGGGGGCGGUGGGGGCAGCACAGCAGCGCUGGCCGGGCCGUUAAGCAGCGUCUGCGGCAGCAGGUUGGGGGGCACCGUGAGCUGGGGGCCUCCGCCACCCCCCGGGUUAGGAAGCCCAGUUACUAACCCACCGUGUGUCCCGCGCCGAGACGCCACCGACGCCGCAGCUGAAGACGAGUUGGGGCUCUGGCGGUUCAGCUCCGGGGGUCCCUCCUCGGGGGUGGGCUUGGGGAAGCCGUUGGGGCCUCCCAGGCCGUUGGGCAGCCGCGCGGCGUGGCUGCUGCUUCCCAGGCUCACUGGAGGUGGCGGGUACUCGAAGCGGCUGCGCUGUUCCACCGCGGCAGCGGCGGCGGCUGUCGCACAGGUAGCAAGAUUGUCUCCGGGACGAGGACACCUGCGCCGCCGACAUGAUGCCGGCCCUGGGGAAGGUAGGCCCCCGCCCGGGCUGUCUCCGCGGCGCCUUCUCCUCCCGGAGGGCUGGCCGGCUGGGGAGGGAGUCUGGCUGCGGGGGAGGGAGGGGGGGCGAGAAAGUUCUGCCCCAGGGGCUGGAGGGAGCGCGAGUCUCCACCGCCGGCGCAGCGCCUCUCCGCGGGGGCUCCAGCGCCUGGGCGGCGGACGAGUCCAGCCCGCUCCUCGCCCCCACCUCCUACUGCGGCUGUCUCGUCGGGAGGGUAGCUCAGGCGCCUUCUUCCUGGUGUCGCGGACCUGGACUGGAAGCUCCGGGCCCGGGGGGAGGGGGCGAGGGUGCCGGGUGCUGGCCGCUGUGGGUUCUUGGCCCCCUCCCCGGAGUGGCUGGUGCGUGGAAGCUCGAAAGGGGCUGUCUCUUCCUCUCCUCUUGGAGGGGGGGGCGCCCUACGACCUGCGUCCUCUCCCCGCCAGGCUCCCUGGGGCGAAGGCUAUAGAGGGUUCAGUGCCACCCGGUGCCCGGGUCCAAUCUUGCUGAAGUCGCUGCUUCCCGGGAGGGCCGGGGGAGGGGUUGGCAGCCGAGAGAGGAGCUUCUCCCCUCCGCAGCGUCGGCCGUUCCGCUGGCGGCGGCUGGGUUUGCACGGCCGGAGGGAGCCGCCGCGGCCACUGCUUCCAGGAUGCACGCGAGCAGAGUAGAGGAGUGCACGCACGCAGGCUCCCGCCGCCCCCAGGCCUGGCGGGCGCCCGGGCCGCCGCGGCUGGCGGCGCUCACGUUGGCUGCAGGGCGCUCGCGCGGCGCCUCGGCCCGGGUCGCAUCCCUUCCCGCUCACACUCGCCCGGAAUGUGGGGUUGUGAUUGUUACUCUACGUUCCGGAGGCGCGUCUCGGCGCUCCCGCUCGCGCUGCGGCUCGC
rnacentral:lncRNA from 1 species